rnacentral:rRNA from 1 species
UAAGACGUAGGGAGCAAGCGUUGUCCGGAUUUACUGGGCGUAAAGAGCGCGUAGGCGGCUCGUUAAGUGUGAAGUGAAAUCUCCAGUGCUCAACACGGAAACUGCUUUACAUACUGGCGAGCUUGAGGAAAGCAGAGGUAACUGGAAUUCCUGGUGUAGCGGUGAAAUGCGUUGAUAUCAGGAGGAACACCCAUGGCGAAGGCAGGUUACUGGGCUUUAUCUGACGCUGAGGCGCGAAAGCGUGGGUAGCAAACAGGAUUAGAUACCCUGGUAGUCCACGCCCUAAACGAUGGAUACUAGUCGUGAGAGGUAUCGACCCCUCUCGUGACCGUAGCUAACGCGUUAAGUAUCCCGCCUGGGGACUACGGCCGCAAGGUUG